UGGAGUUCUACGGUCACUGGAGUAUGGAGUUCUAUUGUCGAACAUUUUUUUUUAAAUAUUUAAAAAGGAGUUCUUAUUUCUUUGGAAUUCUAUUUUCGCUGGAGUUCUACUGUCGCACACCAAGAAAUUUUUAGUAAAUGAUCCAGUCAGUUCACCAGCAGCAGCUGCUAGUCCUGGCAAAAAGCCAAAAUUAACGUAAAAGAAACAUCAACAACUUAUCAUUUCAGGAGACCACAACAGAUCUGCACAUCACACAGAGAAGUUUGCAGUCAGCAAACCUAAUAACUCAAUUCUCUGACUUCAGAAGUUGCAGACGGUGAGGUGUUGAGAGAUCUCAGAUCUGCCAAUUGACCAGGACUUGUGUUCAUCACCAAAUUAUUUCAUGUUUUAAUAAAACUAUGUCCGCUAGAUGGCGCGAAUGGGUCCGUUAGUGACGAAAUUUCUGCCAUUUCUUCUAAAGACACUGAGCGGAAAGGUUACUCAUUCUUUAUUAUUAUGGAUAUGUGGAUUACAUUUGUUAUUUUCAAGUUGGAAAACUUGACAACUACAAAUUCCUUUGUAAGAUUUAUCAAGCCAGGUGAAGUCUGCGCUUCUUUGUUGCAGUCUAAUGUGCACAUGGAUUGGUUGCAGUCAUCCAGUGAGAGGUGUGAUUAAAUUGAGCUGUUGCAUGCAGUCUUUGGUGCUGAUGUUGUCCUGGAGUGUGGGAGAAUUCCAUGCUUCAAGUCUUCUGGGAUCAGCCAUAUCUGAGUUGACGCUGGAUCAUGCUGCAUUGUGGUUGCCAAAAUGUUGGGCAUAUAGUAGAACUGCAAGAAGACUCCUUGAAAUGGUUUAUGUUUACGUAGCAGUGAUGCUGCUGUCCAAUAUGGCAUGUUGUUGCAGCCUAUACU